AACGAACGCUGGCGGCAUGCCUAACACAUGCAAGUCGAACGAGACCUUCGGGUCUAGUGGCGCACGGGUGCGUAACGCGUGGGAACCUGCCCUUAGGUUCGGAAUAACUCCCCGAAAGGGGUGCUAAUACCGGAUAAUGUCUUCGGACCAAAGAUUUAUCGCCUUUGGAUGGGCCCGCGUUGGAUUAGCUAGUUGGUAGGGUAAAAGCCUACCAAGGCGACGAUCCAUAGCUGGUCUGAGAGGAUGAUCAGCCACACUGGGACUGAGACACGGCCCAGACUCCUACGGGAGGCAGCAGUGGGGAAUAUUGGACAAUGGGCGAAAGCCUGAUCCAGCAAUGCCGCGUGAGUGAUGAAGGCCUUAGGGUUGUAAAGCUCUUUUACCCGGGAUGACAAUGACAGUACCGGGAGAAUAAGCUCCGGCUAACUCCGU
rnacentral:rRNA from 1 species